ACUGUGAAUCUUGAGAAAAUGAAGGUUGAUUGUUAAAGGACUGCUGAGUAGAAUGAGAAUCGUGUAAAAGUGAGUGAUGUUUCUGUCUGCAGUGAUAACAUCGUUUCUCACUCGGACAUUUGAAUGUUUUAUGGUUGUACAUCCAAAUCUAAAAAUGAGUAACAAGAGCGAAGUGUAUGCUGACCGCGAUGACAUACUGCACAACUACGAGUAUCCUUCCUUGUAGAAUUCAAGUGAAAUACUCUUGGUUUGAAUUUAGAUGGUUCCUUACUAGUGGAAUCUAGUGACUUCAACCCUGAUUGGCAAACAACUUCUAAAGAACGAAAACGAGUUUCCAAAAAAACUGAAAAUUCAUGGAAAGAAGGUAGUUUUUGUAGCAAUGUGAAAAUCACGAAGACAUCCCAACUUUCUACUGGCACACCUAAGUUCUUCAAAGCAUGAAGCACUUCUUUCGAUUUAUCUAACAGACACUUGAUGGAAUCUGACGUUUCAACCUUAAUUAUUGGCUGCUCAAAAAAUGAUUUUAACUCACCCAAAUUUUUAUAACUCGUGAAACUCUUUUUGACUUGAGCACAAGUUUUCUUAAAUAAUUUCAUUGAGGCUGAUUCACUCAUUGUAAUAUAUGUAUCAGGAUAAAUGAUGAAAAUUCCACACGAUGAUUUCGACAAAUUCUCCACAGUUUCUGCACAGUAAUGAUGAACGGUGAUAAUGAUGGCAAUAGUUAAAACGGUGACAACGGUAAUAACGGUGACAACGGUAAUGCAGCAACAGUUAUAACGGACAACAGUUAUGAAGCAACGGCAAUCCAAUAUCACAUUUGGUGGUUAAAUUCUCCAAAAAAUAUAGAUUUUCUUUGUUACGUUUAUUGCACUUUGUAUAAUUUGAUAUAAUUACUCACAUGAAUUUAUAAAUUAAUUGUGUUGAUUAAUUGCAGGCUGAGAUGCUGACUGGGUACUUCGCUGGACAGGACACUGAUUGGGAACUCCGCUGGACAGGACACUGACUGGAUGCUCCGCAGGACAAGACAACGUAUGGGUACUUCACUGGACAGUAUGCUCGAUGACGCUCGACGUACA